AGUCAUCUUCUGCACGACCAUCGCAGAUUCUAGCUCCAAUUUUAAUGGGGACGUGACAUCUACACCUGCGCUGAGCUUUGCCCCACCUGCUUUAUUAAUUUGGUAGCAGCACAACAAGAAAGUUAAGAUUAGUUUCACCUUUGAAGGCUAUAGAAGUAGAAGUACUUCAAGCAUGAAUCCAGAAUUAAAGGAAACAACAGGGAGCAAGAGUUUUUGCCAGGUUUGGUGAAGCUUUUGCUGGAAAUGCAGGGGUGACAGAGAAAAAAACACUAUCUCCUGAAGCAUUCCACAAAAGCAUAAUUGUGGGGAUGAUCAGGAAGUGGGGGUUCCGGCAGCAUAGACAACCAUGUUCCUGCAAGAGCCUGCCAAAUCUGGCGGUGGAAAGAAGAAUGUUCGCUUUACUCUCUUUUUUUGUUUUUUAUUUUUCUCCCCUAAAUGUUGAACAACAGCUGGGUUGACAUUUUCACUAAAGCUAUCAGUUGUAAUCAGGUUGGUUAUAUUUUAAGCAGAACUAUCAUGGUUGUACAUGUAUGUAAUUUUUAGCAGAUUAAGUUUGGUACUGUUGUC